CGGGGAAUUUUGGACAAUGGGCGAAAGCCUGAUCCAGCAAUGCCGCGUGUGUGAAGAAGGCCUUCGGGUUGUAAAGCACUUUUGUCCGGAAAGAAAUCCUUGGCUCUAAUACAGUCGGGGGAUGACGGUACCGGAAGAAUAAGCACCGGCUAACUACGUGCCAGCAGCCGCGGUAAUACGUAGGGUGCAAGCGUUAAUCGGAAUUACUGGGCGUAAAGCGUGCGCAGGCGGUUUGCUAAGACCGAUGUGAAAUCCCCGGGCUCAACCUGGGAACUGCAUUGGUGACUGGCAGGCUAGAGUAUGGCAGAGGGGGGUAGAAUUCCACGUGUAGCAGUGAAAUGCGUAGAGAUGUGGAGGAAUACCGAUGGCGAAGGCAGCCCCCUGGGCCAAUACUGACGCUCGUGCACGAAAGCGUGGGGAGCAAACAGGAUUAGAUACCCUGGUAGUCCACGCCCUAAACGAUGUCAACUAGUUGUUGGGGAUUCAUUUCCUUAGUAACGUAGCUAACGCGUGAAGUUGACCGCCUGGGGAGUACGGUCGCAAGAUUAAAACUCAAAUGAAUUGACGGGGUCAUAGCUGUUU
rnacentral:rRNA from 1 species